rnacentral:rRNA from 1 species
UACGUAGGUCCCGAGCGUUGUCCGGAUUUAUUGGGCGUAAAGCGAGCGCAGGUGGUUUAUUAAGUCUGGUGUAAAAGGCAGUGGCUCAACCAUUGUAUGCAUUGGAAACUGGUAGACUUGAGUGCAGGAGAGGAGAGUGGAAUUCCAUGUGUAGCGGUGAAAUGCGUAGAUAUAUGGAGGAACACCGGUGGCGAAAGCGGCUCUCUGGCCUGUAACUGACACUGAGGCUCGAAAGCGUAGGGAGCAAACAGG